rnacentral:misc_RNA from 1 species
AAGUCGUAACAAGGUUUCCGUAGGUGAACCUGCGGAAGGAUCAUUAUCACGUUAUCCACGUAUCAACCAUUGUGAACUAGUAUAGACCUUUGAAUUGGAGAGAUAGUGUUGUACUAAACCGUUAUCAAACAAUAAUGAUUGGAAAUUGUUGAGGUUUAUAUUACAAUCAAACAAAUUCGUUUGUUUACUUUCUGAUUCAAAGUGUAUUUUUUCCAAUCAAUUAUUUAUUAACCAUUUAAACCCAAAAUUUUUCUAAAUUUUGAACUGAUUUAAUUUCUUACUCUUAUUUUCUAAGAGAAGAAAUAAAUGAUUACGAAACAUAAGAACAACUCUUAGCAACGGAUAUCUUGGUUCUCGUAACGAUGAAGAAUGCAGC